UGCACAAAAAUGCCAAAUUAUACCGUUUCUCCGUUUCGAAAACAUUUCUGUAUCGGAAACAGAGAGACACAGAUGAAACGUUACGGACACGUUUCCGCAUUUCCGAUUGAAAACGCAUUUCUUUAAAAAAAAAUGGCUUAGGUUUAAAACCCAACACAACACACACAAAGAGAGAGAGAGAGAGAGAGAGAGUGAGAGUUGAGAGCACUGAUCAGCAACACAUCGCAAAAAAGAAGAAAAAGAAGAAGAGGAGGACUUACCCAGCAACGACGGCACUAGAUUAGCGGCGUGACGCCGGCAUUGCAGUGUUUUCGUGUCUGUACUACAUAGCAACUAGCACGGUGAAGCACAAAGAUCGGCAAAAACAACAGUAUGCUGCCGACCUUCUUCCGCACCCGGAAUUGGAGCGUCGGCAGGCAGAAAGAUCGCAGGCUCUUGCAACAGCCAUUCAAGCACGAGCAUUUGCUAAAGCACCUACUGAAGCCCUUCUUCGUCCCGGUAAUUGUAAGGAUGCAAACGAUCCAUUUUUAGACCCAAAAGACUGUGCUAAUUGAGAAGACAGGCCAUUUCAUUCAGAUAGGCCUCAUAUUGUAGCCCAGUCCAAUGAAUUGAUGAAAGUGAGAGAGCAGCCCAUUUCUGUUUUGAACCA